rnacentral:rRNA from 1 species
GAUGAACGCUAGCGAUAGGCCUAACACAUGCAAGUCGAGGGGCAGCACAUGAAGCAGCAAUGCGGAUGGUGGCGACCGGCGCACGGGUGAGUAACGCGUAUGCAACCUACCUACAACAGGGGAAUAACCCGUUGAAAGACGGACUAAUACCCCAUAACACAGGGAUCCCGCAUGGGAAUAUUUGUUAAAGAUUUAUCGGUUGUAGAUGGGCAUGCGUUCCAUUAGCUAGUUGGUGAGGUAACGGCUCACCAAGGCAACGAUGGAUAGGGGAACUGAGAGGUUUAUCCCCCGCACUGGUACUGAGACACGGACCAGACUCCUACGGGAGGCAGCAGUGAGGAAUAUUGGUCAAUGGGCGCAAGCCUGAACCAGCCACGUCGCGUGAAGGAAGACGGCCCUACGGGUUGUAAACUUCUUUUGUAAGGGAAUAAAGUGUAGUACGUGUACUAUUUUGCAUGUACCUUACGAAUAAGGAUCGGCUAACUCCGUGCCAGCAGCCG